rnacentral:rRNA from 1 species
AUUGAACGCUGGCGGCAUGCCUUACACAUGCAAGUCGAACGGCAGCGCGGGGCAACCUGGCGGCGAGUGGCGAACGGGUGAGUAAUAUAUCGGAACGUACCCUGGAGUGGGGGAUAACGUAGCGAAAGUUACGCUAAUACCGCAUACGAUCUAAGGAUGAAAGUGGGGGAUCGCAAGACCUCAUGCUCCUGGAGCGGCCGAUAUCUGAUUAGCUAGUUGGUGGGGUAAAGGCCUACCAAGGCAUCGAUCAGUAGCUGGUCUGAGAGGACGACCAGCCACACUGGAACUGAGACACGGUCCAGACUCCUACGGGAGGCAGCAGUGGGGAAUUUUGGACAAUGGGCGCAAGCCUGAUCCAGCAAUGCCGCGUGAGUGAAGAAGGCCUCGGUUGUAAAGCUCUUUUGUCAGGGAAGAAACGGUGAGGGCUAAUAUCCUUUGCUAAUGACGGUACCUGAAGAAUAAGCACCGGCUAACUACGUGCCAGCAGCCGCGGUAAUACGUAGGGUGCAAGCGUUAAUCGGAAUUACUGGGCGUAAAGCGUGCGCAGGCGGUUUUGUAAGUCUGUCGUGAAAUCCCCGGGCUCAACCUGGGAAUUGCGAUGGAGACUGCAAGGCUAGAAUCUGGCAGAGGGGGGUAGAAUUCCACGUGUAGCAGUGAAAUGCGUAGAGAUGUGGAGGAACACCGAUGGCGAAGGCAGCCCCUGGGUCAAGAUUGACGCUCAUGCACGAAAGCGUGGGGAGCAAACAGGAUA